rnacentral:rRNA from 1 species
GAUGAACGCUGGCGGCGUGCCUAAUACAUGCAAGUCGAGCGAACAGACGAGGAGCUUGCUCCUCUGACGUUAGCGGCGGACGGGUGAGUAACACGUGGAUAACCUACCUAUAAGACUGGGAUAACUUCGGGAAACCGGAGCUAAUACCGGAUAAUAUAUUGAACCGCAUGGUUCAAUAGUGAAAGACGGUUUUGCUGUCACUUAUAGAUGGAUCCGCGCCGCAUUAGCUAGUUGGUAAGGUAACGGCUUACCAAGGCAACGAUGCGUAGCCGACCUGAGAGGGUGAUCGGCCACACUGGAACUGAGACACGGUCCAGACUCCUACGGGAGGCAGCAGUAGGGAAUCUUCCGCAAUGGGCGAAAGCUUGACGGAGCAACGCCGCGUGAGUGAUGAAGGUCUUCGGAUCGUAAAACUCUGUUAUUAGUGAAGAACAAAUGUGUAAGUAACUAUGCACGCCUUGACGGUACCUAAUCAGAAAGCCACGGCUGACUACGUG